rnacentral:lncRNA from 1 species
UCGAGUUUUCCCUGAUCAAGUAAGACAGACCCUAAGCUGGAGCCAAGUGGCUGCUUCUGGACUGCGCUCUGUCUUCCGCAUCCCACUAUCAGUGCGCAGGACCUGCUUCCAAAUGUGUGCCUUUUCCGUGAGAUUUCCAGACUCAUGCUCAGGAACCUCUGGGUGUCCUGCAAAGUGAGGCUGCUACAGCAGGGGCUGACGGCCGGGACACCUUCCCUGGGGCGGCUGCUGGCCAUCCUGUCUGAUGGGCCAGAUGUCUCCACCUGCUUGGAUUCAGAAAUCCCCCCGACUCCAAAACGAACCUUUAAGUGUGGCGCAACUUUCGGAAUGAGCAAGCGUCAAACCCAGCAGCUGCCUCUUCUUGGGGACCACGGCCCGGUGGCUGAGGAGCUGCAAGUGCUGUCCCUGAGACUCUGUCAUGCCUGAGGCUGCCCUUGCUCCCACGGACUGCAUGGGAAUUAUCAUCGCUGCCACAUGUCACAGAAAUUUUUCUGUGAAAUGCAAAUCGCAUUAAUUUCCCCAUUCCCUAAUCCAGAACAUUGAAUUUUAUGCUAAUAAUGCCAGCAGAAUCUCAUAUGAAAACCAGAGAGGAAUCACUGGGUCCUUCCCUUCCCCAGGGACUGUCUCAGCUUUGGAAAUGUCACAUGCACAAAGAGAGGGGCUGUUCCCCAAACAGGCCAUUAUCACAGCUACAUAGUGAAGGGAGUGCUUUUCCUUUUAAAAUCAUUGUAUUGAGACAUGAUAUCAAUACAAUAAAUGCAAUUCUUUUCAGUACAGUGUAAUGAGUAUUGACUAUUUUAUACCUAUGCAACCAUCAACCUCCAAUUUGUUCUUUUUCAAAAUUAUUCUCAUUAUUCUAGAUCCUUUGCGUUGUCCUAUAAAUGUUAGAAUCACUUACAUAUUUCUAUUUAGAAAAAAAAAUCCUGCUGGGAUUUGUAUUGGGAUGGCAUUGAUUGUAUAAGUCUUGUCGGGCAGAAUUGUUGUGCUAAAAAUAUUGUUUCUUCUACUUCACGAAUUUCCUCUAUCAUUCCAUUUAUUUAGGGCUUUCGUUUCAUAUUUUUCUUAGUAGUAUUUUAUGAUUCUAAGUAUACAGAUCUUA